AGAGUUUGAUCCUGGCUCAGGAUGAACGCUAGCGGCAGGCCUAACACAUGCAAGUCGAGGGAGAAGCCCUUUCGGGGGCAGAAACCGGCGCACGGGUGCGUAACGCGUAUGCAACCUACCUUUCACAGGGGGAUAGCCCGAAGAAAUUUGGAUUAAUACCCCAUAAUAUUAUUGGAUGGCAUCAUUUGAUAAUUAAAACUGCGGUGGUGAAAGAUGGGCAUGCGUCCUAUUAGCUAGUUGGAGUGGUAACGGCACCCCAAGGCUACGAUAGGUAGGGGUCCUGAGAGGGAGAUCCCCCACACUGGUACUGAGACACGGACCAGACUCCUACGGGAGGCAGCAGUGAGGAAUAUUGGUCAAUGGUCGGAAGACUGAACCAGCCAUGCCGCGUGCAGGAAGAAUGCCUUAUGGGUUGUAAACUGCUUUUAUAUGGGAAGAAUAAGGCGUACGUGUACGUUGAUGACGGUACCAUAUGAAUAAGCAUCGGCUAACUCCGUGCCAGCAGCCGCGGUAAUACGGAGGAUGCGAGCGUUAUUCGGAAUCAUUGGGUUUAAAGGGUCUGUAGGCGGGCUAUUAAGUCAGGGGUGAAAGGUUUCAGCUUAACUGAGAAAUUGCCUUUGAUACUGGUAGUCUUGAAUAUCUGUGAAGUUCUUGGAAUGUGUAGUGUAGCGGUGAAAUGCUUAGAUAUUACACAGAACACCGAUUGCGAAGGCAGGGGACUAACAGACAAUUGACGCUGAGAGACGAAAGCGUGGGGAGCGAACAGGAUUAGAUACCCUGGUAGUCCACGCU
rnacentral:rRNA from 1 species